UUUGUCUACGUUCUUUUUUCCACUCACCAAAGUGAAUGGAGCUUUGGCCAGGAGGAACUGAUGUCACCAGACGUUUAUUGGUCGUUUGGAUCC